GACAGAGGAGCCAAGCGUUGUCCGGACUGACUGGGCGUAAAGCGCCCGCAGGCGGCCGUGCACGUGGGGUGUGAAAGCGCUCGGCUUAACUGAGCGAGGCCAUCCCAUACGGCGCGGCUCGAGCCGUCCAGAGGCCGGUGGAAUUGCCGGUGUAGUGGUGAAAUGCGUAGAGAUCGGGAGGAACAUCAGUGGCGAAGGCGGCCAUCUGGGACAACACUGACGCUGAGGCACGAAAGCGUGGGGAGCAAACAGG
rnacentral:rRNA from 1 species